ACUUAAAUUGAAGAGUUUGAUCAUGGCUCAGAUUGAACGCUGGCGGCAGGCCUAACACAUGCAAGUCGAGCGGUAGCACAGAGAGCUUGCUCUCGGGUGACGAGCGGCGGACGGGUGAGUAAUGUCUGGGAAACUGCCUGAUGGAGGGGGAUAACUACUGGAAACGGUAGCUAAUACCGCAUAACGUCGCAAGACCAAAGUGGGGGACCUUCGGGCCUCAUGCCAUCAGAUGUGCCCAGAUGGGAUUAGCUAGUAGGUGGGGUAACGGCUCACCUAGGCGACGAUCCCUAGCUGGUCUGAGAGGAUGACCAGCCACACUGGAACUGAGACACGGUCCAGACUCCUACGGGAGGCAGCAGUGGGGAAUAUUGCACAAUGGGCGCAAGCCUGAUGCAGCCAUGCCGCGUGUAUGAAGAAGGCCUUCGGGUUGUAAAGUACUUUCAGCGGGGAGGAAGGCGAUAAGGUUAAUAACCUUGUCGAUUGACGUUACCCGCAGAAGAAGCACCGGCUAACUCCGUGCCAGCAGCCGCGGUAAUACGGAGGGUGCAAGCGUUAAUCGGAAUUACUGGGCGUAAAGCGCACGCAGGCGGUCUGUCAAGUCGGAUGUGAAAUCCCCGGGCUCAACCUGGGAACUGCAUUCGAAACUGGCAGGCUAGAGUCUUGUAGAGGGGG
rnacentral:rRNA from 1 species